UAGGGAAUAUUGGACAAUGGGCGGAAGCCUGAUCCAGCCAUGCCGCGUGGAGGAUUAAGGCCCUCUGGGUUGUAAACUCCUUUUAUCUGGGAAGAACCAUUCCGACUUGUCGGAACAUGACGGUACCAGAGGAAUAAGCACCGGCUAACUCCGUGCCAGCAGCCGCGGUAAUACGGAGGGUGCAAGCGUUAUCCGGAUUUACUGGGUUUAAAGGGUGCGUAGGCGGACUUAUAAGUCAGUGGUGAAAGCU
rnacentral:rRNA from 1 species